rnacentral:rRNA from 1 species
AUACGUAGGUGACAAGCGUUAUCCGGAUUUACUGGGCGUAAAGGGCGUGUAGGCGGUCUUGCAAGUCAGAAGUGAAAUUCCUGAGCUCAACUCGGGCGCUGCUUCUGAAACUGCAGGACUUGAGGGCUGGAGGGGAUAGCGGAAUUCCUAGCGGAGCGGUAAAAUGCGCAGAUAUUAGGAAGAACACCGGUGGCGAAGGCGGCUAUCUGGACAGUAACUGACGCUGAGGCGCGAAAGCGUGGGGAGCAAACAGGAUUAGAUACCCUGGUAGUCCACACUGUAAACGAUGAAUGCUAGGUGUAGGAGGUAUCGACCCCUUCUGUGCCGCAGUAAACACAGUAAGCAUUCCGCCUGGGGAGUACGGUCGCAAGAUUAAAACUCAAAGGAAUUGACGGGG